CGGAUGUGAAUGCUCUUAAAACCUAAACUGAGCAUUUGCCCUCCAACAUCCCUCUCUCUGUCUCGCUAUCAAUCAACCAACAAUAAGCAUCGAUUAUUCGAGAUCUCCGUGACCUAUAGCUUCAAGCGGUGGUGUUGCUCAAGCGCUAAGAACUAUCUCUUGAAUUCUAUUUGUUAUUCUUAUUCUUUGAUUGAAAUCUGUGCAUAAUUUUGUAAUCUACACUAGUGUUAGGGUUUCAAUCUGCAAAAAUCGACUCCAUCUGUUGUACGACAUCUUUCUGUUUCCAACGCAAUAGAUCUCGGAUCCAAACGUAAACCGAAAACCUCUGCUCAUGCUAUCGAUUGAAGAAUCGGUGGUUGUGCUUCUAGGAGCGUGGACAAGCAUAUUUAUCAAGGUGCGAAGUUGAUUUGGGAUUCAAAGGUGAAAAGAUGUAGAAAGGAGUUGAAGACUUCAUGGAAGCAGAACAAAGAAGAAAAACGUCUGGUGUUUGUUGGUGGGUCAGUGGUGUUUCGAGCUAUUUGACCGAAAACCGGAUGUCGGGUAAUUAUGUAUGCUUGCAGAUGAUACUAUGUGUUUACUUUGGGUCCAUUUUGUGAUUUGCUAGAUAUAAAGAGAUUAAUUGUGAUUUGCUAUGUGUUUACAAUGGUGUAAGGGGCAACCUGUAAGGAUCGCGUGUCCUUUUCUCCCAGUUAUCCAAACUCAUAAUUCUAACCCAUAAUUGGUGAUUUUCAGAAAGAGGUUUACCUUUGUUCCUUUAUUAUGCACACAUGUAUUAAAAAUGUUAAUAUUUUUUCUCAGUUAGUUUGGUUUGGUUUGUUAACCAUGAAUAAAGUCAUAAACUACAUCAGUAUUUAAGAUGGCUUACUAUAUUUUUAUGGUAAAGAGGUUAAUUGUGAAUUUAAAAGGUUUAAUUUGUGUGCAUAGACUUGUGAUCAUUUAAGUGGCAGAGAGGCUAAUUGUGAUAUGGAUUGGGGUACUGAUGGUGCAAUGGGAACUUUGUAAACAUUGGUUCAAUAGCACUGCUUUUGUAAAAUUAGUGAAUUGGGAAAUUAAAAAGGUUUAUAUAAUUUCGUUAUUUUUUUGGUAAUUUUAUAAUUAGUCAUUAUAGUUAUUUAAAUAUAUAUUUAAUAUAUUAAUUAAAAAAUUAUAUAAACAAUGAGCUUUUUUAGGCUCGCAAGCCGGCUCGAGCUCGAUAAGCAAAGCUCGGGCUCGUUUACCAAACAAGUUUGUUUUAGGCUCGAGCUCAAACUCGUUUAAGCUCGGCUCUAUUCGAGUCGAGCUUAAGUAGCUCGCGGGUUAGCUCGGCUCGUUUGCACCCCUGGAACCACUCCAUUUUUGUUUUCAGAUUCCAUUUCUCAUUAUGUUAGAUACUUUUGUUUGUAUCCGAUUUUUUUAAUUAUCUUGUAAAAUGUGGGCAACUUUUUACUUGUGGGGAUGGAUCAUUUGGUCAAAUUUGGCUGGGUGAUUACAUGUCAUAAAGUUCUCUUCUCUGGUAAAAGUAUCACAUCUUGCAUCAAGGCAUGUUUACCAAAUCACACUGGCAAAAAGAGAAAUUACCGUUGAAGACCGCGAUGUGCGUGCCUAAACCUAUUAAGAUUUAAGACUUCCAGUGAUGCCAUAUUUCCAGUAAUGCAGGUGCAUAUACUGUAUUUUUACUUACACCAUCAGCUUGCCACUCACUUCAUUUCUGUAAAAUCAAUCCAGAUGUUAAAAGAAUCGUGCAAGGAAUCCCAUGGGGGGUGGAUACUCUCAGCAAGGUUAUCAAGCCCAGCCGGUGUGCCAUAACAGUCGGAUUCUAUAGUUGAGUACAUUGAAGUUGAAGAGAAACUGCUGGCCUAAAAACCAAAAACUUGGACUUUGUGCAGGCCGCUAGUCUCCCUCAUGCAAUUGAGACCAUGUAUAAUGGUCUAGAGCGAGCCAGUUUCUCAGAAGGUCAUUAUGCUGCUGAUUUAGUUACCUGUUGUAAUUAAUAGGGCUAGUUACUUGCUAUUGUUGGCACAUUUACAUCGCUUGCAAGCAUGCCUGCUGGCGAUAACCCAAUUUCUACUGUUGUAUAGAAUUAAACCCUAGUAGCACCUGUUCCAGCAAAGGUAAACAAGGCUUGAUCUGUCAUGUUUAUCUAUUGCCAAUGUGGCAUCGAAUCAGACAAGGAGCAAGAACAAGAAAGAAGCAUGAAAAAGUUUUUAGUUUGUAUACAGUCGUUUCCCUUUGAAACUUUUGUAAACUUUUGUAGAUAACUUUUGAUUAGAAGUUUGUGUUUAAGUAUUUAAAUUGAAAACUUAUGUAUGGAUUUGGGUUUAUUAUUGUUAAUAUAAUUUGGUUUUUUGGGUU